UACGGAGGGUGCAAGCGUUAUCCGGAUUCACUGGGUUUAAAGGGUGCGUAGGCGGGCCGGUAAGUCAGUGGUGAAAUCUCCGGGCUUAACCCGGAAACUGCCGUUGAUACUAUCUGUCUUGAAUAUCGUGGAGGUAAGCGGAAUAUGUCAUGUAGCGGUGAAAUGCUUAGAUAUGACAUAGAACACCGAUUGCGAAGGCAGCUUACUACACGAUCAUUGACGCUGAGGCACGAAAGCGUGGGGAGCAAACAGG
rnacentral:rRNA from 1 species